GAUGAAGAACGUAGCGAAAUGCGAUACGUAAUGUGAAUUGCAGAAUUCAGUGAAUCAUCGAAUCUUUGAACGCAUAUUGCGCUCUCUGGUAUUCCGGAGAGCAUGCUUGUUUGAGUAUCAGUAAACACCUCAACUUCCAUAUCUUUUUUGAAAUGGGAGUUGGACUUGAGUGAUCCCAACGCUUUUCCUCACCGAAAAGUGGCGGGUUACUUGAAGUGCAGGUGCAGCUGGACUUUUCUCUGAGCUAUAAGCAUAUCUAUUUAGUCUGCCUAAAAAACAGAUUAUUACCUUUGCUGCAGCUAACAUAAAGGAGAUUAGUUCUUGGGCUGACUGAUGCAGGAUUCACAAAGACGGCUUCGGCCGACUUUGUAAACUCGAUCUCAAAUCAAGUAAGACUACCCGCUGAACUUAAGCAUAUCAAUAAGCGGAGGA
rnacentral:misc_RNA from 1 species